CCUACGGGUGGCUGCAGUGGGGAAUAUUGGACAAUGGGCGAAAGCCUGAUCCAGCCAUGCCGCGUGUGUGAAGAAGGCCUUCGGGUUGUAAAGCACUUUCAGUGGGGAAGAAAGCCUUGGGGCUAAUACCCUCGAGGAAGGACAUCACCCACAGAAGAAGCACCGGCUAACUCCGUGCCAGCAGCCGCGGUAAUACGGUGGGUGCGAGCGUUAAUCGGAAUUACUGGGCGUAAAGCGCGCGUAGGCGGUCUGAUAAGCCGGUUGUGAAAGCCCCGGGCUCAACCUGGGAACGGCAUCCGGAACUGUCAGGCUAGAGUGCAGGAGAGGAAGGUAGAAUUCCCGGUGUAGCGGUGAAAUGCGUAGAGAUCGGGAGGAAUACCAGUGGCGAAGGCGGCCUUCUGGACUGACACUGACGCUGAGGUGCGAAAGCGUGGGUAGCAAACAGGAUUAGAUACCCCAGUAGUC
rnacentral:rRNA from 1 species